GGAAGACCAGUUUGUUCUUUUUUGCAAAAGAAACUGGUGGGGCUUUGGGAUUAAGUUCCUCCCAGAGAUACUGGGCAUGGAGAGGAAAGAUUUUCAUGAGUGAAGGCAUCGACGCCGGACAGCGUGGCUUAUGCAAAGUUCCUUACCGGCCAUGUAGGAGAAGGCUCAAGAGCUUGAAGACUCGUACGGCCAGAUUUGGGAACAGCUUCUUUCCAACUGUGAUAAAGACUGCUGAACGGAUCCUGACCUGGAUCUGGGCCAUACCCUCCAAAUAUCCGGACCUGCCUCUCAGAUGGAAGUACAGAAGACUGCUGAAAUCAGGAGCAACAAAGACCUGUUGAAGGAAUUCUGUGGGCUGAGGAGCAUCUGGGAAGGGUGGAAGAAUUUUGGAUGAACACCUUGCAUCAGGAUGAAUGACGAUGCUAUUCAGUCCACUGAGUUCCUCCAGCAGACCGUUGCAUGAGAAAUUUCACAUUUCUCAGGAUGUGAAAGGAGAACACGACGGAGUGUAUGCUGACUCUCAGAGCAAUCUCAUCAAUCCCAUUCUCUCAAUUAUUUUUCCAUAAACUCACAAGCCCUUCAAUUUCCCUUAAAACCCCCUGUCACUGACCUCCACAAGGGACAAUUUAUAGGGGUCAAUCAACCGAACAAUUGGCACUUGUUUGGGAUUGGUGAUAAAGCCAGUGCCCCCAAGGGAAACUGAUUCUGUCACAUGCAAACUCCACAAAGAGGCCAGGAUCAAACCCAGCUCCUGGAGUUGGAGGCAGCAACACUAACCGCUGAACCACCAAGCUUCAUGUUUCACAAAGCGACAUCUUAAUGGAAAACAUGGAAAGGAUGUGAGAAGUUGGUAGGAGCGCGGAUAAAUUUUGUGCUCCUACUUCAUUAAACAUUUCAAUCCUUAGUAUCUGUUAAGUUAAAUAAGCAUUGCUUUACUGUACAUUUGGGCACAGUGAUAAGCAAUAGACUAGUGCAUUGCUAUUGCUUUCACACAUCCUGAGGUAUUUUUCUUUGAUGGUGACAUUGAUAAUAGGAAGUAACAGCAUUGUAACUUAUAAUAUGCUCGUAACUCAAAUCAAAUUUAUGUUUAAAUCCAAAAG